rnacentral:rRNA from 1 species
UCUGGAAUUGCUUAUUGCACCACAUGUGUUUUUCUUUGAAACAAACUUGCUUUGGCGGUGGGCCCAGCCUGCCGCCAGAGGUCUAAACUUACAACCAAUUUUUUAUCAACUUGUCACACCAGAUUAUUACUAAUAGUCAAAACUUUCAACAACGGAUCUCUUGGUUCUCGCAUCGAUGAAGAACGCAGCGAAAUGCGAUACGUAAUAUGAAUUGCAGAUAUUCGUGAAUCAUCGAAUCUUUGAACGCACAUUGCGCCCUCUGGUAUUCCGGAGGGCAUGCCUGUUUGAGCGUCGUUUCUCCCUCAAACCGCUGGGUUUGGUGUUGAGCAAUACGACUUGGGUUUGCUUGAAAGACGGUAGUGGUAAGGCGGGAUCGCUUUGACAAUGGCUUAGGUCUAACCAAAAACAUUGCUUGCGGCGGUAACGUCUACCACGUAUAUCUUCAAACUUUGACCUCAAAUCAGGUAGGACUACCCGCUGAACUUAAGCAUAUCAAAAGCCGGAGGAA